GAUGAAGAACGCAGUGAAAUGCGAUACGUAAUGUGAAUUGCAGAUUUCAGUGAAUCAUCGAAUCUUUGAACGCACAUUGCGCCCGCUAGUAUUCUGGCGGGCAUGCCUGUUCGAGCGUCAUUUCAACCAUCAAGCCCUAGGCUUGCGUUGGAGCCCUGCGGCUGCCGCAGGCUCCCAAAUCCAGUGGCGGGCUCGUCGUCGUACCGAGUGCAGUAAACAUCCUCGCUCAGGGAACGUGACGGGCUCUUGCCGUGAAACCCCCCACAUAUCAAGGUUGACCUCGGAUCAGGUAGGAAUACCCGCUGAACUUAAGCAUAUCAAUAAGCGGAGGA
rnacentral:misc_RNA from 1 species